GAUGAACGCUGGCGGCGUGCCUAAUACAUGCAAGUAGAACGCUGAAGGAAGGAGCUUGCUCUUUCCGGAUGAGUUGCGAACGGGUGAGUAACGCGUAGGUAACCUGCCUGGUAGCGGGGGAUAACUAUUGGAAACGAUAGCUAAUACCGCAUAACAGUAGAUGUUGCAUGAUAUCUACUUAAAAGGUGCAAUUGCACCACUACCAGAUGGACCUGCGUUGUAUUAGCUAGUUGGUGAGGUAACGGCUCACCAAGGCGACGAUACAUAGCCGACCUGAGAGGGUGAUUGGCCACACUGGGACUGAGACACGGCCCAGACUCCUACGGGAGGCAGCAGUAGGGAAUCUUCGGCAAUGGACGGAAGUCUGACCGAGCAACGCCGCGUGAGUGAAGAAGGUUUUCGGACCGUAAAGCUCUGUUGUAAGAGAAGAACGAGUGUGAGAGUGGAAAGUUCACACUGUGACGGUAUCUUACCAGAAAGGGACGGCUAACUACGUG
rnacentral:rRNA from 1 species